rnacentral:rRNA from 1 species
UAGGGAAUCUUCCACAAUGGACGAAAGUCUGAUGGAGCAACGCCGCGUGAGUGAAGAAGGGUUUCGGCUCGUAAAACUCUGUUGUUAAAGAAGAACAUAUCUGAGAGUAACUGUUCAGGUNUUGACGGUAUUUAACCAGAAAGCCACGGCUAAAUACGUGCCAG